UAUAAAUUCGAACAUUUUUGAAUUGUAACAAAAGAACUGUCUCAAAAUAUGUUUCUAAAUGAUGAAAUAGCAGUUUACUUAAUCAUUUUCAAAAUUGAAAACAGUGAAAUUAUCGCACCUGUAUUAUAAAACCAACGCAAAAGUCGAUGAAGAAAUGUGUGGAGAGGUUAUAUUGAAGCAGAGUCGUUCCCGCAAAUUGCAUCCAUCAAGAAUCAUCGCGGCGCUUUCAUUGGUUUCGGUUUGGAGUGUUCGGCCGUAGUGAGGCAACUUAAGGGACCAAAUUGGCGUUUCUGCAAAACGAGAAAAAACAUUUCCUCCAUCCCGGGUCAUCUUCCGAAGUGAUUGCAAAAGAAGUGCAUUGCAGCAAGAAGUGAAUGUAGAUAGUGUUCUGUGGCAAAUGGUUCCAGCGCAUAAUAUCGAUUUGGAAAAGGCCAUGCCAAAGUGGUUGGAGGAAGUUACAGUACAUUGCCGUACAAAAGCAAAAAAAAAAAAAACUGAAGACAUUCUACACUGUCCACCCGAUGUUUUGGACCGAAAUGACCUGGUGGUUCACGACAUUGGUGACAUCAGCCAUUAAGACGAAAAUUCACUCGCUACCGAGCGUUGAGCACCUGUAUUCAGCGAUUGCGAACGAUUAGUAGGAAAAAUUUGCAUGCAUCAUCGAAUACGAUAUGACGACGAACGGUAUUUACUUCUUCAAACCGACCACCAAUACGUCUUCGUCUGCGUCCUAAACUAGGGUUCCGCCCUCCUCAUUAUCUCGCAGAUGAAGCACUUCUCCUCUGGUGGUAUCACGAGAAACAAAAUGAAAAAUGUUCCACUUUUUUCCGCCGUUGAGUUAGUUAGAUACUAGUUAGAUAAAUCUUGCAGAAAACGAUGCGAUACAAGAAAUAGGGCACAUAUAUAUAAAACAAGCUAACAGGACAAAAAUGAGACAAAAGAAAUAUUCUUAUCGUUUCAAUAACAAAAUUGUAAAAAAUUAUAUACACACAAUAAAAACAUUUUAGUUACUUGAAGGAAGAGAAUAAAAUUAGAUGCUGCAGAGAAAAAGAAAAUAUAAUAUUGUUACAAAAUUAUGAUCGAAACCCAAUGACGCCCAGCGGAGGUCAGUUACAAUUGAGGCGGCUGCUUUUCUGUAAUUAAAGACGAUUGAUUAACCGCGAACUAUCGAAAUAUAGUAGCAUCUUCUCCCAGAGCUUAUUGGAUGGAUCCAAAACCUAGACAAAUCCGUACGUACUGAAUCUUGAGAGCAAGAGGCAAAAGCAACAGCGUAUAGAGCUCACAUUUCGGGCGGUUUGUUUGUAGGGCUCAAGUCACAGUCAUAAAUUUCAACGUAAUUUAUUGAAAAGAAAUCAUUUAGGAAGUUUGUUCUAAAAGCUAAAUAGUUAAAGGUCAAGUUGGAUACUGAGUGCAAACUAACAAAAGUAAGUCGUUAAACUAAGUAGUGAGAGAGGAUGAAACAAAUCAAUGCUUAUUUAACAUAUUGCGGACCGCUUAUAUGUUCUCUCGAGUUUCGCGUUCCGUCUGUUAUGGAUGGAUCACGAAAUAACCCGUGUUUUCUACACUUGAAGGUUUUAUCCUUGGUUUACUAAGAAUCUAACAAUGCCUACCGGUGGCUCGCCUUCGUCUCAUCCACAUUGAAGCAAACGAUCUUAUUCGUGGAAUC